rnacentral:rRNA from 1 species
CCUACGGGAGGCAGCAGUUAGGAAUCUUCCGCAAUGGGCGCAAGCCUGACGGAGCGACGCCGCUUGGAGGAGGAAGCCCUUCGGGGUGUAAACUCCUGAACCCGGGACGAAACCCCCGAUGAGGGGACUGACGGUACCGGGGUAAUAGCGCCGGCCAACUCCGUGCCAGCAGCCGCGGUAAUACGGAGGGCGCGAGCGUUACCCGGAUUUACUGGGCGUAAAGGGCGUGUAGGCGGCCUGGGACGUCCCAUGUGAAAGGCCACGGCUCAACCGUGGAGGAGCGUGGGAUACGCUCAGGCUAGACGGUGGGAGAGGGUGGUGGAAUUCCCGGAGUAGCGGUGAAAUGCGCAGAUACCGGGAGGAACGCCGAUGGCGAAGGCAGCCACCUGGUCCACCCGUGACGCUGAGGCGCGAAAGCGUGGGGAGCAAACCGGAUUAGAUACCCGGGUAGUCCACGCCCUAAACGAUGCGCGCUAGGUCUCUGGUUUGCUGGGGGCCGAAGCUAACGCGUUAAGCGCGCCGCCUGGGGAGUACGGCCGCAAGGCUGAAACUCAAAGGAAUUGACGG